GUAGUCAUAGCUUUUGAAAUGGAUGGAAGUAACCCAUGGCAUUUUGGAAAAAAUAUGACAAUAUUUUCACGUUACUUGGAGAGAUGUGGCUGGAAGUAUGAAUGAUGUCUGAAACAUCUGACCCUGAGCUGAAAUAAGGAACAAUUGAGACUUAUGUACAAGCAGUUGAGCCUCAGGUACACAGACGUGUGAGAGACUCCUAGGUAAGGUGUCUGAGGAACAAGAAUUAUUUUCACGUGGGAAAGGAAGAGGUUGCAUGAAUCAUGGUAAACUUCCAACUUAGAUUUUACAGUAGUGAGGGUUGAGACAGUGGAGAUACCAUCUAGAAGUUGACAGAAUUUGUUUUUGAAACGCAUAUCCGUGCAAAUGUUAUACUUUGGCCAAAAAAAAAAAAAAAAGAAAAAAAAAAGUGACCAAAGACAGAAUAAAGCACUCUGUUUAGCAAAACAGCUGCAUGAUGUGUUAAACCCAGUCUUGUGAUGACAAGCCACAUGAAAUCUGUGCAGAUAAGUCAUCACCAGUGGCUAGUUUCCCCUGUGUCUCACUGACAAGGGGAGGGGAGGAGGAGUUUGUGUAAUUAAUAGGCAAGGGAAAAGUAGGGGGCAUUUUUUAAAGUCAUCCCUGGUUACUCUCAAGUGGGUAUUGAUUGAAUGAUAUCAGAUAUGCUUUUAUGUCCGUAUUCCUCUGGUUAGAGGAAUUUGGACAUGAUCCAAGCAGAAGUAGAGGAGCUGCUAGGUGGCCCAGUGGUAAAGCAUCCCACCCACUGCAGCAUCCUUAGCAGGGAGGAGGAGGUGAGACAGGGGGAGACCCUCUGCUGAGAUGAGCCCCUGCACUGCCAGUGGGCGAAGAGAACAGACUUGUCCAGCCUGGGGAUUGAAACUCCACAAAGUCGAGCACCAGAUGGCAGAAGAUACAGUGGUUUACAUAUUUUGGAUAGAGGAUGUAGCCAUCUGCAAGAUGAAGAAGACAAGCACAAAGAGGAGCAUUAGGGGCUGGACGUUUUCAACAAGCUGCACUUGGGAUCCUCAACUUUGCCAAAGACCACGGAGCAGAGGAAUGUGUUCCCCCCAGAAACUGACCCAGGAGCACCCUGCUCCACUCUGAGGGUGGGGGAACAGCGAGACAGAAGCCAUCAGAGGACAGAGGGAAACCACAGACUACUUCCGUUACAUAGAAACAUAAAAGCCCCUGCUGUGCCUGUUUGGAAGAGGCGCUUUGAGGCAAACAUCCCAAUCCCAGGUGAGAAGGACAAUUUAGUGUAUCCAGAGAGCUUGUAUCUCACUCUGGGGUCUUUUUGCUGUGUGUAUCCUAAUCACUGAACUGCCUUCUCUCUUAUUCCUGUCACUGUCAGCGUAAAGGCCAUAGUUCCCAGUUAUGGGUGAUUUAACUGACUUUCAGUGCAAUAAAAGUUGCCAAACUACAGCUCCAGAUAAAGUCGCUUAUAUUUAGCUGACGAGCCAUGCAGCUGCAUUUGCAUCAAUAACAUAGGGUAAAUUCUAAUUAACCAGGUGAUGCAUAAGACCUGGAAAUUGUUGCAAAUGAUUAAUUUUAGGUACCAAGACAUAUCAGUUUCACAGUGAUCCAAAAUCUAAAACCUUUGGAAACUACUACUACAGGAAACAUAUGCAGAUGUGUAUCCAUUUCUGCUGAGCACCUGCCAUUUCUUGCUCCCAGCAGAAAUGACAGCAAUUCCCAAAAAUCAAAGAGUCUCCUUUAAGCAAAGCAUUUCCAAUUUACAGUCAAAGCAUCUGAACAAAACCAAAUCUUAGGGACACUGACCCAAGCUAUGGGUGCUGUGCCAUGGCAGCCUCAGAUCACUUCAACCCACUGGUCCGUGCCCCUGUGAGCCAGCAUGAUGCCUAUGCCAGGGGCCUUCCCAAAGCAGUUUGGAUAUAGCCACCCUCCCUCCACUGGUAGGAGACUUCAGUGUCAGCUUUGUGGCCUGAAAAGGGCCUCAGCUGGCCUCUCACUCUUCAGGUCCCCAGGCUGAUGGCUAUGUCACCGCUACACUAUUUCUGCUCCAAAGGGUGUAGGAGUAGGCCCAGGUUUUGUAAAAAAAAAAAAAGAAAGAAAAAAAAAGUGUUGUUUCUUUUUUUAAUUGUUUUGUUUUGUUUUGUGUUUUCCUCUUUGAAGUAACUUCAGACACUUCCAAGGAAUGGGGUGGUAUAGAUUAGGACAGUCUGCAGCAUGUGCAGGAACACCAGGAUGAGACAGCUGGCAAAAGAGUAACCACUUGUGACUCCAUCAGGCACAUAAAAAGCAGAUAUGAGGCCACUCCUACAUUUACAGUAACUCAAUUAAUGUUUUUCAUUUCCAUUUAUUACAUUCCUAAUUGCUCCACGCCGCCUGUGGGUCAGCUGGCAGCUGUACACUAAGCUGUACACGAACUUGCAUGGCAAGCAACUCCUGACAGGCUAAUCGAAUAACACGUCCUGACUUCAAUAACCAGAACUGUUCUCUUCUGCUCUGCAGCCUGAGCUGGACUCUGUACAGGAUGGAGAUGAAUCCAACCAAGAGCAGGAGGAAAGGAUGGGUGCUUGGCUCGCAGGCUGUCAAUAUGAUGUCUUAAGCUUCUGUGUGAAGGUGGAGCAUCACAGCUGGCACCGAGAGUGAAGCAACAGGACCUCUCUGUUGUUGCUUUACCUGAAAAGCCCACCAUGCUAGGUCCUGCCUGGGGCUCCUGGAACACACCAAGUUAGAGAUCUAAGAGUGUAAAUGUUUCCUCUAACUGACGACGUGUUAUUUAGUGCUCCCAUCCCUGCCCAUAUGGAUAGUACUUUAUGGCAAAACAAAGACUUGCCCAGCAGAGCACUGAAGUGUCAGAAGAUAAAUGUAUAAAAAUUUAGUAACUGCUUUCUCCCAUGUCAUGUUACGUAUUAAUACAGAUGUUAUAUCUCUAAGAAGUCUAGAAACAUAGGUAAUAUUCAGAUCCCAGUCAGGAAGAAUUACUGAAAACAUCUAAAAGUAUCCUUUCCAUAAACAAAAUGAAUAUGUAAGCACAUCUGGCACAGCAAUCCUUUACUGCACCAUGUUAUAAAGUACUCCAGAGCAAUGAAAG
rnacentral:lncRNA from 1 species